GGUUUUCUCGGGAGUGUCGUUGUACUCUCCAGCAUCGUCAGGCAAUUCCCACUCAGGGUGGCCAGCCUUCGCCGCUGCUGCUUUGAAGUCUGCUUCCAGGUACUUAUCAUAACACUGCAGAUUAUUUUUGUUUUAGUUAAAACAGUUAAUUGGAGCCCUUUUGUCUUUACUUGUUAUGGUAUUAUUUUUGCAUCCGUUUUAAUUCAUGCCUGUCUGUUUAGUUGGAUGUACAUUUGAUGUCCACUGCUUUUACCGUUUAAUUGUGGGACCAUGGUCUUAUGUUUGCUUCUGAUACUUUGCUCAAAAGAAGAGCAUGAUCUCUCAAAAGCCAUGAGUAGUAUUAAUUUGAAAUUGCCAUUUUAUCCAACGCCGCUUAUGAUCAGAAUCACUUUACCAUUGGGUGAACCUUUUUCAGUGCAAAUCGUCUCUUGGACAAAGAUUAAACUGCCUUUGGUCAUCACAUGUUACAUGUAUAUACGAGGAUUUUGUAAGAACAGAAGAGUAUUUGGGAAAACACUCACGAUGAAUUCUCCGAUGCCUGGGAAGACCCAUCCUUGGCUCUGAGGAUACGAUGGGUACCUCAUCUCUCCAGCUGGGCCAAGUCCCACUUCAAUGUCCACGAUGGUACCGGCAUCCAAGAACUUCUUCAUGUUUUCCCUGAAGCUCGCCAUGUAAUCAGCAUACAUCUGUAGCAGCCACAAAGAAGGAUCAAAGCUUUGCUACCAUGAGCACACUGGGGCUACCAAAAUCACAACUAUGCUGUUGCCAAGACUCAUCUCAGUCAUCUGAAUCACCAUAUAUGCAGGAGAACUGGAAUGGUGAUCUAGCUUAGCUAACCUGGACGGCAGUUCUUCCAUGGAAGAGAGGCUGGUCGUCCACUCCAAGGGUGAGGUACUCGAUGUUCCUCGUCCCGCCGCGGUUGGUGUAGAAAAUGUCGGGGUCGGUGGCGCCGACGUCGCGAACCCACUGUGGGAUGGGGAUGUUGACGACG
rnacentral:lncRNA from 1 species